rnacentral:rRNA from 1 species
GACGAACGCUGGCGGCGUGCUUAACACAUGCAAGUCGAACGAAGUGGCGAACGGGUGAGUAACGCGUAAUCAACCUGCCCUUCAGAGGGGGACAAAAGUUGGAAACGACUGCUAAUACCGCAUACUGAAGGAGGGGAUUGCGUCUGAGUAGCUAGUUGGAGGGGUAACGGCCCACCAAGGCGAGUAUCAGUAGCCGGUCUGAGAGGAUGAACGGCAACAUUGGGACUGAGACCCGGCCCCGACUCCUACGGGAGGCAGCAGUGGGGAAUCUUCCGAAAUGGACGAAAGUCUGACGGAGCAACGCCGCGUUAGUGAUGACGGCCUUCGGGUUGUAAAGCUCUGUUAAUCGGGACGCGGUACCGGAAUAGAAAGCCACGGCUAACUACGUGCCAGCAGCCGCGGUAAUUC